rnacentral:lncRNA from 1 species
GAGCACCCUGGGCACAGUGCAAAAAAUUUUAAAAAGCUGAGUGGCCAUUCUUUGUCCCAGUUGUCCAUGUAUGACCUUGGGGAAGCCACGUGUGCCAUGCUGUGCCACCUUGACUUUGGAGGGCUGAGAUCUCGGCCAAGGUCCUGCCCCACUAAGCUCUGGGCUCCUGCCCUUGCCCUCCGGGCCUCCCAGGAUACAGUUAGCCUACGGGAGGAGCAGGACUUUGGAGCAGAUCCGGGCUCCCUCCUGGCCUUUGGUGACCGGUCUGGUGACUUGACUCCACCCAGGAUGAGGCGUAAGGUGAGUCCCCACACUCAAGUCCUCUGCUGGGCCACGCUGCUGUCCACACUCCCAGGACGGGGAGGAGAUGAGCCAGCUCCUGGCAGCAGAGCAGGGAGCUUGGUGACUUGGGGCGGGCUUGCAGAAGACACUGCCCAGAAGGUGGGACUUGGAGCCAGAUGGGAGCUUCCCCUCGUGCAGCCACCACCAUUGGGUGCUGCAGACACAAGGCUGCACUGAAGGUAGCCCGGGCACAAGUUCCGGGGAGGGCGAGUGUUAGGCCCGUGUGGCUCAGUGGCAGAGGCUGGCCUGCCUGCCAGAGGCCAAUUUCUGGGUUCCUCUCCAGAACGGCCAGGGAAGCCUGGGAGAGUGUUGACGGCGGUGAUGCUGUCUGCUGUGUUUUCAUUCUCUAGAAACUGCUCCACAGGUGGAGAAAUUGGUGACACCUGGCCGGUGUGGGACGGGAGCCAUGGAUCGCAUGGCCUGUGGUCUGGCCUGGUUCAGGUCCAGGCUCUGCCCUCGGGGGUCCUAAAGGGCCGGCACUAAAUAGCAGUUGCUUCCCACAAUCUGUACGCAUGCUCAUUUCUCAGACACCUUG